GUAAAAUUUUCUUAUUUUUUUUUAUUGUUUUUAUUUAUUUUUAUUAAAAAUAAUUAUAUAUAAUAUGGUUAAAGUAAAAUAUAUUGAAAUAAUGGUAUUAAUUAUAUAUAAUUAGUAUUGUGAGAGAAAGGUGAAAUAUUUUGAAAAAUUUUUAUUUUAAAAGAAAGUUUUAUUUAUUGUACCUUGUGUAUCAGGGUUUAUUAAUUAAAUAUUAUAAUUUUAAUUUUCUCGAUUUUAAAAGAGCUAAUAAAAUAUUUUAGUUAAUGUAGUAAAAUUAUUGUUAAUAUUUUAUUAGAAAUGAAAUGUUAUUCGUUUUUAAAGGUAUCUAGUUUUUUUAGAAAUAAAUUUAAUUUAUUAUAUGUGGAGUUAAUUGUUUAUUUUUUAAAUAUAUUAAAUUAAUAUAUAUAAUAUUUUAUGGGAUAAGCUAUAAAAUAAAAUUUUAUAAAUUAAAGAAUUAAUUUAAAAUAUAAGCUUAGAAAUAGCUAUUAUUUAAAAUUAUGUUAUAAUUUAUUAAUUGAUUUAUAAUAUUUAUUAAGUUUUAAAUUUAUAUAAAAAUAUUGUUUAUAAUUUUAUUAAACAAUAAAUUAUGAUAAAAUUAGUAUAAUUUAUAGUGUUAAUUUAUAAAAAUUAGAAAGUUUUAAUUAAAGAAUUCGGCAAAUAUUAUAUUCGCCUGUUUAACAAAAACAUCUCUUUUUGAAUUUAUUUAAAGUUUAACCUGCCCACUGUUUUAUAAAUGGCCGCAGUAUUUUAACUGUGCAAAGGUAGCAUAAUCAUUAGUCUUUUAAUUGAAGGCUGGAAUGAAUGGUUGGACGAAAUAUAUGCUGUUUCAAUUUAAUUAUUAUAGAAUUUUAUUUUUUAGUUAAAAAGCUAAAAUUUUUUUAAAAGACGAGAAGACCCUAUAAAUCUUUAUAAAUUUAGUUUUUAAUAUUUAAAGAAUAUUUUUUAUUAAAAAUUUAAAUUUAUUUUAUUGGGGUGAUAAUGAAAUUUAAUAAACUUUCAAAAAUUAAAUACAUAAAUAUAUGUGUUUUUGAUCCAAUUAUAUUGAUUAAAAAUUUAAGUUACUUUAGGGAUAACAGCGUAAUUAUUUUGGAGAGUUCUUAUCGAUAAAAUAGAUUGCGACCUCGAUGUUGGAUUAAAAGUAAUUUUAGGCGUAGCAGUUUAAAAUUUAAGUCUGUUCGACUUUUGGAAUUUUACAUGAUCUGAGUUCAAACCGGUGUAAGCCAGGUUGGUUUCUAUCUUUAAUAUAUUAUUACAUUUUAGUACGAAAGGAUUAAAUGUAUGAUUUAUUAAUUUAAUUAAGAAUAUAAUUAAU
rnacentral:rRNA from 1 species